rnacentral:ribozyme from 13 species
AAAAAGAGAAAAAGAAAAGAGAAAAAGAAAAGAGAAAACAAAAAUGGGGCAUUU